GAUGAACGCUGGCGGCGUGCCUAAUACAUGCAAGUCGAGCGAACAGAUGAGGAGCUUGCUCUACUGCCGUUAGCGGCGGACGGGCGAGUAACAAGUGGAUAACCUACCUAUAAGACUGGGAUAAAUUCGGGAAACCGGAGCUAAUAAAGGAUAAUAACUUGAACCGUUUGGUUCAAUAGUGAAAGGCGGUUUUGCUGUCACUUAUAGAUGGAUCCGUCCCGCAUUAUCUAGUUGGUAAGGUAAGGGCAUACCAACGCAACGAUGCGUAGCGGACCGGAAAGGGUAGGCGGCCACACGGGAACGGUAACACGGUCCAGACCACUACGGGAGGCAGGAGUGGGGAAUCUUCCACAGGGGGAGGAAGCCUGACGGAGCAACGCCGCGUGGGGGAUAAAGGUAUUCGGAUCGUAAAACUCUGUUAUUAGGGAAGAACAAAAGUGUGAGUAACGAGUCACGUCGUGACGGUACCUAAUCAAAAAGCCACGGCUAACUACGUG
rnacentral:rRNA from 1 species